CCGAGCUGUGGUGCAGGCUGAGCGUUGAGCUUCUAUCCAGAGCUGACGGGAGGUUUUCCAGAGGGAUGUUUUGCUGUUGGAAAGUGCAGAUUUCUCAACCCCCAAAUUCCCCGUGGGAAUGCGCCGACCACAAAGCAAAAAGUGCCCCCCAAAUGGACAGGGUUCUGCCCUGACAGUUU